UAAGAUUUAUUUACUAUUAUUUAAAUAUAUCUAUAAAUUUUUAUAAAAAUCAUUUUAUUGUUAUUGUAUUUGUUAUGGAUCUAAUUAAUAUAAGUUUUAAUUUAAUAGUACUGUGAAGGAAAAAAAAGAAAUAAUGGAUUUAUUAAAUAGUAAGUUGAAUUUAUUUUUUGUACCUUGUGUAUCAGGGUUAAUUAAUUUAAAUUUAUAAAUAUUAAUUUUCUCGAUUCUUUUAGAGCUAAUAAGUUAUAUUUUUUAUUGUAGAAAAAAUAUUAAUAAUAAUUUAUUAGAAGUGAAAUAUUAGUCGUUAAUGGGGAUAUCUAGUUUUUUGGGAAAUAAAUUUAAUUUAAAUUCUUUCUAUAAUUUUUUUAUUUAAAAUAUUCUUUUAGUUGGAUUUAUUAAUAAAUGGGAUAAGCUUUUUAUUAAAUAUUCAUAAGGUAUAAAUUAAUAAAGUCUUGUAGGUUUAAUGAUAACUAUCAUAAUAAGUAUAUUAAAAUUUUAUUUUUUUAUAAAUUAAUUUUUUUGCCUUUGAAAUUUUACUAAUUUGUUUUAAUUAACUAAUAAUUAAUUAAAAUAAUGAUUAAAUUAGUAUAUAAAUUUUAAUAUAAUUAUAUUUUUAAGAAGUAAUUUUGAGGAAUUAGGCAAAAAUUAUUGUUCGCCUGUUUAACAAAAACAUCUCUUCCUGAUUAAAUAGGAGGUAUAACCUGCCCAAUGAAAUUAUUUAAUGGCCGCGGUAUAUUGACCGUGCAAAGGUAGCAUAAUCAUUAGUCUUUUAAUUGAAGGCUGGAAUGAAUGGUUGGACGAGAUAAUAACUAUCUUUAUAUUAUAAAUUAGAAUUUAAUUUUUAAGUUAAAAAGCUUAAAUAUUUUUUUGGGACGAGAAGACCCUAUAGAAUUUAAAUAUUUAUUUUAUUUAUAUAAGUUUGAUUAAUUAUUAAUUAUUUUAGGUAUUUUGUUGGGGUGAUGAAAAGAUAAAUGUAACUCUUUAUUGUAUAAACUUAUUUAUUUAUAUUAUUUUGAUCCACAUAUAGUGAUUAUAAGACUAAAUUACCUUAGGGAUAACAGCGUAAUCUUUUUUGAGAGUUCAUAUCGACAAAAGGGGUUGCGACCUCGAUGUUGGAUUAAGAUUAUCUUUGGGUGUAGAAGCUUAAAAAUUAGGUCUGUUCGACCUUUAAAAUCUUACAUGAUCUGAGUUCAAACCGGCGUAAGCCAGGUUGGUUUCUAUCUAAUAUAAAUUAGGAUAUUUUAGUACGAGAGGACCAAAUAUUUGAAAUAAUUUUUUAUCUAUGAAUAUUAUUAAGA
rnacentral:rRNA from 1 species